AUGGGCACACGCGCGGAGAAUCAAAAAUACUCAUCAUCUUCGACGAGGUCAAGUGACGGAGGGACCACUUAUCCUUCCUGUACCGACCGAGGAAGGCAACCUUCAGAAGUUCAGAAGAGGUAUCGAAAAUGUGAAGGACGGUGGUGGAAGAGCGACGGUCAGGCAAGGGUUUUGACGAGGUUUGGUGUUUCUGAAGAUCAAAGGAAGUUUUCGGCGAGGUUUCGAUUAUAUGCUAAGGUGCUUCUCAACUUGUCAUAA